AGUAUACUCUCAUCUUAACAAGGUUAGGUCUUCCAAUCUGUGAAUAUGGGCUGUCUUUCCAUUUAGAUUUAAGAAUACUCCAGUUGCUGAAUGAGAGGAGGGAGAAUGGACCCAGUGAAUUUGAACUUAACACCAUGACACCAAUCACUGUUCUAAACCAGAGGUGACCUGAGAGUGCCCACCACUAGGGUGCAAGUGCUUACUUGUGGAGCUUGGGGCCUGAACAGUCAGCUCACAGUAGAUGGUGAAGGAUGAAUCUACUCUCACCCCACAGCUCUGCCUGCUUGGACACUCCAGAAAGGAUGCUGUAACCCAGGGCUGGUUGGAAUGGGCAGCAGAAACAUGCAGACCUACCCCUGGGGGGCUGCUCUCAGCAGAGCACAGCCAGCGGUAAUCCAAAUCACAGGUGAUGGGCUCUCAACAGCCUGACUGAGGACAGGUGAGCAUCAGGAUGCACUGGCAACACACUGCAAGGAGCCAGCAGGGAGGACGCUCAGCUGCAAUGUACUGGGAGGAAAGGGGUCCACGUAGGAGCAAUGGCCAGGGCACAGACCCAGAACUGACUCUGAAUCUACACUGUUGAACAGACAGUGGGUAAGCACAUGGACCAUACGUGAAAGAGCACAGAGGAGUGGAGACCUAGAGGCGAGCAUGGGAGAUAAGGAAGCAGGCAUGGGAACAGACCAUGUGGAACCUUCUAGUCAACUGCAGGAACCUUAGCUGAGGACAAGGAAAGCCACUGAUUCCACCGGAGGCCUUACAAAUAGCUGUGAAAAGAAGAGAAGCGAAAAGCAAAGGAGAAAAGGAAAGAUAUAAGCACCUGAAUGCAGAGUUCCAAAGAAUAGCAAGAAG
ensembl:lncRNA